rnacentral:rRNA from 1 species
GCGGGGGAUGCAAGUGUUAUCGGGAAUCACUGGGCGUAAAGCGUCUGUAGGUGGUUAAGUAAGUCAACUGUUAAAUCUUGAGGCUCAACCUCAAAAUCGCAGUCGAAACUGCUUGACUAGAGUAUAGUAGGGGUAAAGGGAAUUUCCAGUGGAGCGGUGAAAUGCGUAGAUAUUGGAAAGAACACCGAUGGCGAAGGCACUUUACUGGGCUAUUACUAACACUGAGAGACGAAAGCUAGGGUAGCAAAUGGGAUUAGAUACCCCAGUAGUCCUAGCUGUAAACAAUGGAUACUAGAUGUUGAACAGAUCGACCUGUGCAGUAUCAAAGCUAACGCGUUAAGUAUACCGCCUGGGAAGUAUGCUCGCAAGAGUG